rnacentral:rRNA from 1 species
GAUGAACGCUGGCGGCGUGCUUAACACAUGCGAGUCGAACGAAGCACUUAAGAUUGAUUCUUCGGAUGACGUCUUUUGUGACUUAGUGGCGGACGGGUGAGUAACGCGUGGGUAACCUGCCUCACACAGGGGGAUAACAGUUAGAAAUGACUGCUAAUACCGCAUAACCCGAUAGGAUCGCAUGAUCCAGACGGAAAAGAUUUAUCGGUGUGAGAUGGACCCGCGUCUGAUUAGCUAGUUGGUGAGGUAACGGCCCACCAAAGCGACGAUCAGUAGCCGGCCAGAGGAGGGCAACCGCCACAUUGGGGCCGGGACACGGCCCAAACUCCUACGGGAGGCAGCAGUGGGGAAUAUUGCACAAUGGGGGAAACCCUGAUGCAGCGACGCCGCGUGAGUGAAGAAGUAUUUCGGUAUGUAAAGCUCUAUCAGCAGGGAAGAAAAUGACGGUACCUGACUAAGAAGCCCCGGCUAACUACGUG